UACGAAGGGGACUAGCGUUGUUCGGAAUCACUGAGCGUAAAGCGCACGUAGGCGGAUGUGUCAGUCAGGGGUGAAAUCCCGGGGCUCAACCUCGGAACUGCCUUUGAUACAGCACGUCUCGAGUCCGGAAGAGGUGGGUGGAAUUCCUAGUGUAGAGGUGAAAUUCGUAGAUAUUAGGAAGAACACCGGUGGCGAAGGCGGCCCACUGGUCCGGUACUGACGCUGAGGUGCGAAAGCGUGGGGAGCAAACAGG
rnacentral:rRNA from 1 species